ACAUUUUUUUUCUCUCCUUGAAAAUCAUGCUAUGGUGGGGCUUUACUGGUCAGGCGGAAAGUAAUCACAGACAAACACCAUAUCCCUUAGUGAUUAAAGAAAUGAAUAUCAACUUCACCACUCUUGUCAGCAACUUGUUUGACUGUUUAUGAUGUGGAUGGAACAAUUAUGAAGAUGCAAUGAAAUCACUAUCUAUCUGAAGUUAUUUGAAUUAAGGAUUAAUUCAAAUUUUAGAAUAUUUUUAUACAGCUGUUGUUUAUAUUAUCUUUUGUAGUAUACAUCCAUAUACAAAUACAUUAAGUCCUUUUUUUUUUUCUCUCUUAUCAACAGUCAAUAUCAAUGUACUUCCUGUCUGAUGUUCUUGUUCAUUACUUCUAUCUCUCAUUUUUCCCUCCAUACAUUUCUCUGCCAAUUAUUGUGUGCUCUUCAGCUUGUAUAGAUAAUUAGUAUUUUCCCCUCCAAACUUCGUCCAAUUUUUUUACCCUCAAACCCAACCUUGUUAGGUUUUGCUCCUCAACAUUUGAAACAUUUUUAUUUACCCGGAACUAACUGACCUCCACGAACAGCGUCAGCCGGCUACCAACUGACCAAACUUGAGAAAUUGACAUCGUUAGCGAUUGACCUUUAGUUAGAGGUUAAUCAAAAGAUUUACAAAGUUUAAAGGUAAAUUCAAUGUGGUUGGGUUUGAGGGGCAAAAUCAAAAUCGUAACAAAUUUGUGGGGGUUACAAAUCUCUUUCCAUAAGCUUAUUGACUAUUUUAUGGCUUUCUCUUAUUGGGAAAAACAAUGGGAUGUAAUAUGCUCCUCAUCUCACAUAUAUCAUGAGCAGAGCUAUAGUUACCCUGAUGGUUCUUAUAGUAAGAAAAUGAGAUGUGUGAACAGAGCAUAUAAUGCUUUUAUUGGGAGACUUGUUGGUUAUUUUAAAGUAGAAAAGAGAUGGAAGAAAACUUAAUAAUUUUCAUUAAACUGAAAUCAUUUAAAUACUACUAAAUGACUAGAUAGUGGAACUAAAAAAUAGGGAAAUAAAUGGACAUGAUCUACUAGAAACUCUCCUAGAAAUCACCCACUAAACCACUAACUAAAACUGAAUUACUAAAAAAAGGGAAAAUAACAGAAUUCAAGCAAACUUCAACACUCCUCCUUGCUUGAGUUGCUGUAGAUGCCAAGUUUCUCCCUUAGAAACUCGAACUCGUUCCUCGGUAAGGCCUUGGUGAAUAUGUCUGCUAACUGAAGUUCAGUCUUGCAGUACUUCAGCUUAACAAAUCCCUCUUUUUUGCACUUCCCU